rnacentral:rRNA from 1 species
GACGUAGGAGGCGAGCGUUGUCCGGAUUCAUUGGGCGUAAAGAGCGCGCAGGCGGCUUGGUAAGUCGGAUGUGAAAUCCCGAGGCUCAACCUCGGGUCUGCAUCCGAUACUGCCCGGCUAGAGGUAGGUAGGGGAGAUCGGAAUUCCUGGUGUAGCGGUGAAAUGCGCAGAUAUCGGGAAGAACACCCGUGGCGAAGGCGGCUCUCUGGAACGCAACUGACGCGUGAGACGCGAAAAGCGUGGGGAGCAAACAGG